AUGCACGCUGGCGGCGUGCCUAAUACAUGCAAGUCGAGCGAACAGACGAGGAGCUUGCUCCUCUGACGUUAGCGGCGGACGGGUGAGUAACACGUGGAUAACCUACCUAUAAGACUGGGAUAACUUCGGGAAACCGGAGCUAAUACCGGAUAAUAUAUUGAACCGCAUGGUUCAAUAGUGAAAGACGGUUUUGCUGUCACUUAUAGAUGGAUCCGCGCCGCAUUAGCUAGUUGGUAAGGUAACGGCUUACCAAGGCAACGAUGCGUAGCCGACCUGAGAGGGUGAUCGGCCACACUGGAACUGAGACACGGUCCAGACUCCUACGGGAGGCAGCAGUAGGGAAUCUUCCGCAAUGGGCGAAAGCCUGACGGAGCAACGCCGCGUGAGUGAUGAAGGUCUUCGGAUCGUAAAACUCUGUUAUUAGGGAAGAACAAAUGUGUAAGUAACUAUGCAUGUCUUGACGGUACCUAAUCAGAAAGCCACGGCUAACUACGUG
rnacentral:rRNA from 1 species